UUAUUCUUCAAUUCUUUCACGUUAAACUUCCAGCGAUUACGUCCCCUCAUUGUCUCCGCGGUUACGAAACUGAUUUAUCAUUCAGCAACGACUUCCAAUCUUCUUCUUCUACAGCGGUUUCGCAAAAACCGUUUCUCUUUCAAAUGCUAUUCUCUCCCUUUUUCCCAUUAUCAAUCGCAUCGCUUCAUAAACCCUAAUCCAUAAUUUGUUUCUGUUUCUGUUUCUCACUCGAAUCUUUUCUCUCCAUAUUCCAUUCAAUUGCAUAAGGUGAAAAACAAACCAUGGAGCACGGUUGCGACAUCAGAUUCACGAACAACAAUUUGCGGAUCCGUCAACAAGCUUCCAUUCGCACACUGAUUGCUGAUCGGUUUUGCUUGAAUGGGAAAAUAGAGGGAAACAAUGUUGGAAUUUUGAAGAGUAACUGUGGAUAAUUCUUCCAGUAGAACAACCAAUUUGAUAAAGGUUGAUAGUACUAAUAAGCGUGGAAGUUAGUU